rnacentral:rRNA from 1 species
CAGCCGCCACGGUAAUACAGAGGGUGCGAGCGUUAAUCGGAUUUACUGGGCGUAAAGCGUGCGUAGGCGGCUUUUUAAGUCGGAUGUGAAAUCCCUGAGCUUAACUUAGGAAUUGCAUUCGAUACUGGGAAGCUAGAGUAUGGGAGAGGAUGGUAGAAUUCCAGGUGUAGCGGUGAAAUGCGUAGAGAUCUGGAGGAAUACCGAUGGCGAAGGCAGCCAUCUGGCCUAAUACUGACGCUGAGGUACGAAAGCAUGGGGAGCAAACAGGAUUAGAGACCCCUGUAGUCCCUGUCUCUUAUAU